rnacentral:rRNA from 1 species
AUUUGGCGGACGGGUGAGUAACGCGUGGGUAACCUGCCCUGUACACACGGAUAACAUACCGAAAGGUAUGCUAAUACGAGAUAAUAUAUUUUAAUCGCAUGGUUAAGAUAUCAAAGCUCCGGCGGUACAGGAUGGACCCGCGUCUGAUUAGCUAGUUGGUGAGGUAAUGGCUCACCAAGGCGACGAUCAGUAGCCGACCUGAGAGGGUGAUCGGCCACAUUGGAACUGAGACACGGUCCAAACUCCUACGGGAGGCAGCAGUGGGGAAUAUUGCACAAUGGGCGAAAGCCUGAUGCAGCAACGCCGCGUGAGCGAUGAAGGCCUUCGGGUCGUAAAGCUCUGUCCUCAAGGAAGAUAAUGACGGUACUUGAGGAGGAAGCCCCGGCUAACUACGUGCCAGCAGCCGCGGUAAUAAU